CAGUAGUCACGUAGUUUGAUCCUGGCUACAGAACGAACGCUGGCGGCAUGCCUAACACAUGCAAGUCGAACGAUAAGCCACCUUCGGGUGGUGGACAGUGGCGCACGGGUGAGUAACACGUGGGGACCUGCCUGAUAGUACGGAAAAACAGUUGGAAACGACUGCUAAUACCGUAUACGCCCUUCGGGGGAAAGAUUUAUCGCUAUCAGAUGGACCCGCGCUAGAUUAGAUAGUUGGUGAGGUAAUGGCUCACCAAGUCGACGAUCUAUAGCUGGUUUGAGAAGAUGAUCAGCCACAUUGGGACUGAGACACGGCCCAGACUCCUACGGGAGGCAGCAGUGGGGAAUAUUGUACAAUGGGCGCAAGCCUGAUACAGCAAUGCCGCGUGAGUGAAGACGGCCUUAGGGUUGUAAAGCGCUUUCACCUGUGAUGAUGAUGACAGUAGCAGGAGAAGAAGCCCCGGCUAACUCCGUG
rnacentral:rRNA from 1 species